UACAGAGGGGGCAAACGUUGCUCGGAAUCAUUGGGCGUAAAGCGCACGUAGGCGGCGCUGUAAGUCGGACGUGAAAUCCCUCGGCUCAACCGGGGACGUGCAUCCGAAACUGCAGUGCUCGAGUAUGGAAGAGGGUCGCGGAAUUCUCGGUGUAGAGGUGAAAUUCGUAGAUAUCGGGAGGAACACCAGUGGCGAAGGCGGCGACCUGGGCCAAUACUGACGCUGAGGUGCGAAAGCGUGGGGAGCAAACAGG
rnacentral:rRNA from 1 species